rnacentral:rRNA from 1 species
GACGAACGCUGGCGGCGUGCCUAAUACAUGCAAGUUGAGCGCUGAAGGUUGGUACUUGUACCAACUGGAUGAGCAGCGAACGGGUGAGUAACUCGUGGGGAAUCUGCCUUUGAGCGGGGGACAACAUUUGGAAACGAAUGCUAAUACCGCAUAAAAACUUUAAACACAAGUUUUAAGUUUUAAAGAUGCAAUUGCAUCACUCAAAGAUGAUCCCGCGUUGUAUUAGCUAGUUGGUGAGGUAAAGGCUCACCAAGGCGAUGAUACAUAGCCGACCUGAGAGGGUGAUCGGCAACAUUGGGCUUGAGACACGGCCCAACCUCCUACGGGAGGCAGCAGUCGGGAACAUCCGGCAAUGGACGAAAGUCUGACCGUGCAACGAUGCGCGAGUGCAGAAGGUUUUCGGAUCGUAAAACUCUGUUGGUAGAGAAGAACGUUGGUGAGAGUGGAAAGCUCAUCAAGUGACGGUAACUACACAGAAAGGGACGGCUAACUCCGUG